rnacentral:rRNA from 1 species
UACGGGGGGGGGCAAGCGUUUGUUCGGAAUUACUGGGCGUAAAGGGCUCGUAGGUGGCCAACUAAGUCAGACGUGAAAUCCCCCAGGCUCAACCUGGGAACUGCGUCUGAUACUGGAUGGCUUGAAUUCGGGAGAGGGAUGCAGAAUUCCACGUGUAGCGGUGAAAUGCGUAGAGAUGUGGAGGAACACCAGUGGCGAAGGCGGCUUUCUGGUCUGUAACUGACGCUGAGGCGCGAAAGCGUGGGGAGCAAACAGG